rnacentral:rRNA from 1 species
AUUGAACGCUGGCGGCAUGCCUUACACAUGCAAGUCGAACGGCAGCACGGAGCUUGCUCUGGUGGCGAGUGGCGAACGGGUGAGUAAUAUAUCGGAACGUACCCAAGAGUGGGGGAUAACGUAGCGAAAGUUACGCUAAUACCGCAUACGAUCCAAGGAUGAAAGCGGGGGAUCGCAAGACCUCGUGCUCCUGGAGCGGCCGAUAUCUGAUUAGCUAGUUGGUGGGGUAAAGGCCCACCAAGGCAUCGAUCAGUAGCUGGUCUGAGAGGACGACCAGCCACACUGGAACUGAGACACGGUCCAGACUCCUACGGGAGGCAGCAGUGGGGAAUUUUGGACAAUGGGGGCAACCCUGAUCCAGCAAUGCCGCGUGAGUGAAGAAGGCCUUCGGGUUGUAAAGCUCUUUUGUCAGGGAAGAAAAGGGUCUGGCUAAUAUCCGGGCCUCAUGACGGUACCUGAAGAAUAAGCACCGGCUAACUACGUGCCAGCAGCCGCGGUAAGAC